CUACGGGGUGCUGCAGUGGGGAAUAUUGCACAAUGGGCGCAAGCCUGAUGCAGCAACGCCGUGUGAGUGAUGAAGGUCUUCGGAUUGUAAAACUCUGUCCUAUGGGAAGAAAAAAAUGACGGUACCAUAGGAGGAAGCCCCGGCUAACUACGUGCCAGCAGCCGCGGUAAUACGUAGGGGGCAAGCGUUAUCCGGAAUCACUGGGCGUAAAGGGUGCGUAGGCGGCCUAUCAAGUCAGAGGUGAAAGGCAUUGGCUCAACCAAUGUAAGCCUUUGAAACUGUUAGGCUUGAGUGCAGGAGAGGUAAGUGGAAUUCCUAGUGUAGAGGUGAGAUUCGUAGAUAUUAGGAGGAACACCAGUGGCGAAGGCGACUUACUGGACUGUAACUGACGCUGAGGCACGAAAGCGUGGGGAGCGAACAGGAUUAGAUACCCGUGUAGUC
rnacentral:rRNA from 1 species